ACAUUCAGUUGGCUGCGCUCUACCAGCUCUCUGCAAAACAGCUGUUUUCUGGGUUUUCCGUGUUUUUCGCUUUGCUAAAGUGUACUCUGUGGUGUACUAGAGUUCUAGUACACUCUAGCUUUACAUAGCUUGUAUGCAUGCCAUGCCUCAACAGCGGCCGCUGGUGCCUCAGCUUCUCCAUCGUUUCGGUGGUUGGCGGGAACCAGCAAACGGGCCGGAAAAUCGCUUUCGGGAGUAAUGUAUUCACUGUCGAGAAGAACAGUGAGAAACCGGCACGAACUGCGAGCGUCGAUCACGAAAGUUUGUGAAAGGAUCGGUGGGCACCAUGACUGACACUCUCUCGGUGUAGGCAGCACGGGCACGACAGCUGUCUACCGUCUGAUAAUCUUCAAGCUUAACCCGAAGCCUCGUGAAAUAUUUUCGUGGGUGUAAGAAGUGCAACAAGAGGGAUGUGAUUUUGAAAGAAGCUGUCGAUAUGCGACGCGAUUUGGUGUCAUUCUCAAACGCUAUCUGCAGUGAGUGUGAUUAACGUCUCUGUGACAUGCUCUCGUCAACGUGCACUAAACAACCUGGCGCACUGCGGGCAACCCAGAAGCUAUUCUCUGCAAAGAGAAGAGUUUGUUCCCAGAGGCUUUUGUGAUUGUUCCCGGUGUGUUUUUUGAUGUUGCCCUGAAUGGGAUGGAUAAACGGCUUGUUGACAGCCUGGCAAGCACCAUCCUCCUGGAGGGCAAUCGAGGCAGCUGUCUGCAGUCUUCUGAGAGAGGAUUGGAUGCCAGCAUAUGGGUGAGAUCAGCACCAACCCGGCAGAGGCCUUGCAAGCCUUAGUCAAAGUCACUGUCACACAACUGCACCCCAUAGACCAUUUUAUGGAUGGCAAACGGUGCUGUUAUAUUAAGCUGUUAACCCGGUUGUUUUGUAUCUUGAACAACUAAGUGAACAGCGAGCGCUAUGGCAGUCACACAUGCAUGAAAAUGGUUUGGUUAGUGCAUUCACUGUUUUAUGACGUUGAUGAAAAAUUCAAGUUGCGAUAUACAAAAAUAAAACCUUUGUUUAGCAUUUCGAGGUGGCAGCACUCGUAUGCCUCAUGUGAGAUCAUCUGUAGGAGCCUUCUCUUGAUUGAACUCCUAAGCAUAAGCUGCAUUUACUGUCUACCACACAAAUUCACCCAUGUGUGAGCAUCAUACAAAGGAUGCUUUAAAAUACACAUAAAGUGGUGUAAUAAUUCAAUGAAAAUUGCCUAGAAUCAAGUUUAUUUUGUAAAUUAAUGUCGACGACUGUAUUUCCAGCAGCAUCAGCAUGUAAUUUAAUUUUUCAUCAGUAUGUAAAAGAUUCUAGAUCGUGAAAAUGCAGAUGUACAUCUUCCAAGAAAAAGCUUCUUUUUUUUCUUCCCUGGCCUGUAUAACUGUGCUGAUGGGAAAGAUGCAGCACAUGAUGGACAGCUAGAGAAAAAUGACCCUGUGCUUUUGGCAGUACUGUGCAUUGCACGCAUGACGUCAUUCUAGUAUUGAGCACCCAUUGGUGCUAGUGGAGCACCUGCUAUUCAUGUGCAAAUCACUGGCGCCUUCUGAAGCUGUAUCAGACAACAGCUGAUUCAGAAUUCGAAGACAUUUCAAUGCUGCAUUUUAUAUACCAGCAAUAUUUGUAGGCCUGGUUAUUUUUAGAUGCGUAGCAGCUUAUGGAUGAUGAUGCCUGUCUUCGGUCGUGCCUUAGCCAUCGCUAGUACGCCCUGCCACGGUGGUCUAGUGGCUAAGGUACUCGGCUGCUGACCCGCAGGUCGCGGGAUCAAAUCCCGGCUGUGGCGGCUGCAUUUCCGAUGGAGGCGGAAAUGUUGUAGGCCCGUGUACUCAGAUUUGGGUGCACAUUAAAGAACCCCAGGUGGUCAAAAUUUCCGGAGCCCUCCACUACGGCGUCUCUCAUAAUCAUAUGGUGGUUUUGGGACGUUAAACCCCACAAAUCAUCAUCGCUAGUACAGCACAUGCUAGUUGCCCUCUAUAGACGAUCAAGAACAGGCGUGUUCCAGACCACACAUUUUCUUUCUCCAAUCGCUGCGCAGCACACGCAAGGUACCCACCAUGCGCCAUGACAACAAUGAUGAUGAUGAUCACAGACGACUGGUUUGUGCAGUAGAUGACAUCACAGGAAGCUCUCGGAUGCAUUUUGUGUGCCUGAAAACAAACAACCACCAGGAGAUCGUGCACAGACCUCACCUUCUCCAACUUCAGGCUAGACGCGUUACCAAAAAGCAGUAUUAAUGAAGGCCAAAUGUAAUUCACAACUCAGAAUAGCAUAGAAUUUAUGACCAAUAAACAUCGUAUAUAACU